CCUGCGGGCGGGGGCCCCAGCGCGUCCCCGCAGGAGGACACGAGGACUUCGCCCGAGACUAGAGGACGCGGCCGCGCCCGAGCCGUCGGCGCGUCCACGCCUCGGGCCACGGGGGAGCGCGCGUCCCCAGGCGGCGGCCCCCGCCCCUGUAACGGCGCCCGGCUUUUCUCGGCGUCGGCCUCGGCCACCGCCCAGCGGCUCCAGCUGUGCCUGCUCAUGACUCUGUCUGCUGGAGGGGAAUGUGAAGGAGGAAGCAAUGGCUCCAGGGUUGCUGACCUGGUCACAGUCAUUUCAGACCGGAAUUCUUGUCUUGAAACCAAAGAGACUACUGCAAAGCAGAAUAAAGUUCGGGAAUAACCAUCUACUGGUAGGAAAAGGUGCAGACCUUCUGUGAGGGAGUAUCCCCAGAGUGCAAUGAAAGUGAGAAAGCCUUUAGUUACCACUUAUCCUUUAAUCAACAGGCACCAGCUCAACCCAGAGAGAAACCCCAUGAAUAUAAUCUGUGUGGAAAAGCCAUGAAAAGGAAUUCUAAUAUUAUUUUGCUGAAGAGAAAUUACACAGGAGAGAAAUGCAAUGAAUGUAAAGAACAUGGGGAAGUGUUUAGUUAUCCUUUAUCCCUUAGGAUCCACACGUGAUCUCAUGCUCAUGUGAAAACCUAAGAAUGUUUUUAGUGUGAGAAACCUGUCGGUCAUCAUCACUUGUCCCUUAGGAUGCACAUGGAAACUCACACUGGAGAGAAACCAUGAGUGUAACCGAUGUGGGAGAUUCUUCAGAUCCAGCUUGAACCUCACUGUACGCAAGAGGAUACAGACUUGGAAGAAACCGUGUGAAUGCAAUCACUGUGGAAUGGCCUUCAUCAGGAGCAGGGCCUGCAUAAGAGAAUGCACACCAAGGAGAGACUUUAUCUCUGCGAUGACUGUGGCCAAACCUUCAUCAGGACCUUCCAUCUGAUGGUGCACGUGAGAACUCAUACUAGGAAGAAGCUCCCCCAAUGCAGUGACUGUGGAAAAGCCUCCAACAGGAGCUGUGGCCUGGUUGCCCACAAUGGGGCACACACAGGGGAGAAGAUGUGCUAUGGCAAUGACUGUGAGAGAUUUUCCAGUAGUCACUCAUCCCACAGGAAACAUGUGAGAACUCAUAGUGAAGAGAAGCCCAGGAAUGGAAGUGCAUAGGAAAGCCUCAUCCAUCUCACGUGAGCAACUCGGUGGAUAUCUUCAGUGUGGGGAAGCCUUCCACUAGCACUUGACUUCUGAACAGGGAACCUCAGAGUGAGAGAGAAGCUUAUAAAUGUUAUAAAGGUGGGAUUGCUUCUAUUGGUGUCUUAUCCUUACGUUGGAAAUGUAACUCAUUACUUUUCAGUCUGUGUUCUUGAAUAUAAGCAUUUAAGGCCAUAGAUAUCCCUCUAAAUAGCCCUUCAGCUACAUUACGUGGGGUUUGAUCUGAGGUUUUUAAAAUUUUGACUUAGUUCCAAAUACUGUCUCAUAACUAUUAGAUAUAUUUUAACUCACAGCAUCACUUUACCUUGAGCCUGUCAAAAUACUGAGGUUGUACACUGCAUCAUGAUGGUUCAAUCAACAACUGACUGCAUAUACAAUGGUGAUCCCAUAAGGUUAGUCCCAUCUUGGCUAGGUGUGUAGUAGGCUAUACCAUCUAGGUUCAUGUAACUACUGUGAUGUUCACACAAUGACAGAAUCACCUAAUGACACAUUUCUCAGAACAUAUCCCUGUCAUUAAGCAGCUCAGACCGUACUUCAUUUAAAUUUCACCUAAAUUCUCUUCCCCAAAUCAUAUAAUAAUCCAUAUGUCUUCAUUUGUUUGGUGGGAUGCCCCAUGGUUCCUCAGGUGUCUGGUCUCCUUCAUUGCAAUGAGUGGGUAAACCUGACUUAGUCAGACUAUACAUUUUGUCCCUAGUGGUCUUUGGCUAAUUGUGUUUGGACAAUAACAUGCAGUCAUAAAUAUUGUCAACUUAAAAAGCAUAUUCACUUGUUAUUUUACCCUCAAAAUGAAUUCACUUGGGAAUAGCCCAAAGAAUUGCAAUUUCAGAAGUGCAUGCCACGGCAAACCAUAGGCAAAUCUGGAAAGUGAAGGAGGGGAGGAGGGUGGGGCUGUCCUGAACAAAAGUUCAUUGGAAGAAAGUAACAGUUCAGGGCAGCAAAGGCUUCUCAUUGGCUGGGCUGUUGCAUUUCACUGGCUGGGCUGUUGCUGAGUGGGAAGAGAAAUCUUUGGAAUUAAAGUAGUUGGACUUCAGGGCCAGCCUGGUGGCACAGUGGUUAAGUUCGCACGUUCUGCUUUGGCAGCCCAGGGUUCACUAGUUCAG